GCCGGGUGUGGUGGCGCAUGCCUGUGAUCCCAGCUACUUGGGAGGCUGAGGCAGGAGAAUCGCUUGAACCCAGGAGACAGAGGUUGCAGUGAGCCGAGAUCAUGUCAUCGCACUCCAGCCUGGGUGACAGAGUGAGACUCUGUCUCAA
ensembl:misc_RNA Metazoa_SRP Metazoan signal recognition particle RNA